UACGGAGGAUGCAAGCGUUAUCCAGAUUUAUUGGGUUUAAAGGGUGCGUAGGCGGGUGAUUAAGCGUGAGGUGAAAUGCUCCGGCUCAACCGGAGAACUGUUUUGUGAACUGGUUGUCUGGAAUGUUUUUGUUGUGGGAGGAAUGUGUGGUGUAGCGGUGAAAUGUAUAGAGAUCACACAGAACACCGAUUGCGAAGGCAUCUCACGAAGGGGUGAUUGACGCUGAGGCACGAAAGCGUGGGGAUCAAAC
rnacentral:rRNA from 1 species